rnacentral:misc_RNA from 1 species
GAUGAAGAACGUAGCGAAAUGCGAUAAGUAAUGUGAAUUGCAGAAUUCAGUGAAUCAUCGAAUCUUUGAACGCACAUUGCGCCCGCCAGUAUUCUGGCGGGCAUGCCUGUUCGAGCGUCAUUUCAACCAUCAAGCCCCAGGCUUGUGUUGGGGACCUGCGGCUGCCGCAGGCCCUGAAAACCAGUGGCGGGCUCGCUGUCACACCGGGCGUAGUAGAUUUUAUCUCGCUCAGGGCGUGCUGCGGGUUCCGGCCGUUAAAAAGCCUUUUUUACCCAAAGUUGACCUCGGAUCAGGUAGGAAGACCCGCUGAACUUAAGCAUAUCAAUAAGCGGAGGA